UUGAAACCAAAAUGCACCCACGUGCCGACCAUGCGAUAGGAACCCAGCUGGGAAUAAACAUUUCCCCCAUUCCACGACCAAUAGUCAUACAUGCGGCUGACCAGGAGGCCCUUGACUCGGAUGUGCACAAUGAUUCACCAGUCAAGAAAUUCAAGGUACAGACACAUGAAGGAAAAGUUUCAACCUAGCGCGGGUAAACGGCGGGAGUAACCACGACUCUAGAGAUAGACCCAGUACAUCCGUCCAAGUUAUAAAACGAAUCGUGAUGGGCAUAUGUAGACCGCAAGACAAAAUAGCGCCAACAGUCCCACCCGGUAUAGACAGGGGUACAAUGUGCCAUGAAGUUCCAAGCCAGAUACAAACACCUUCCCAUUCAGGAAGAGAGGUCGGACGACAAUGGAAAGAAAGGUCAAAGAAUGGUGCUUGGGGACUCGCUAUGCAGGGGGAUUGCGGGCGAUAUACCCAACUGCUCAGUAAUAAGCAAACCAGGAGCUAACCUGAAGCGAAUGCAAAAAAUAAUAACCAAUUUAAAUGUGCUGUAAACAAGACUGUAAAAAGAAGACUAUGGACGAAAAGCACGGGAACACAAAGGACAAGUCAAGGCCACGAAUAACUGCAAAUGUAGAUCAUGAUCAUUUGCAAGUGAUGGAAUCGGAU
rnacentral:lncRNA from 1 species